AUUUCUAGGUUUUCAAGAUGACCAUAUUGGGUCAGCCUCACAGAAGACGGUUCGAUUUUUGCCGGAUUCAAACCUGAUCUCAUGUUGGUCACUUUGUAUUGAUAGGGUUUGGAUCGAAUUGAUUUAGUCUCGCAGAUAAUGUUAUCGAUUAUUUGAUAGAUUGAUGGUAAACAGGGCUUUCCAGUUCAACCUAUGGUUUGAGUUGGCGGAAUAGAUUAUUGGAUUGACGGUGACGAAUGCGAACGGAUUGGCUUCUAGCGGUUUCGAUUCGAAGUUCGCUUAUACUGCAGGGUGUGUUGUGCUGCUGUCUGAUGUUGAUUUAGGGACUCAAUCUCACUUUGUGGUUUCAAGAUGGAAGCUACAUUGCAGCUGGUGACUAGACAGCCUUCUGAAUCACAACCUUCUUCUGGUUCUUUCACCAAUACAACUGCAAAUGGUGUACGUGAUUGGUAAACAUUGUGGAGCAAUGGCUGGCUACACGUUUUCACUUUGUGCGCCCAGAGAAAGUUGGAGUUAUAACACUUAAGAGUUCCAUUUGUGCUUCUUGGUUUUUUCAAGAGUCAUCAAACCCUCACUGAAGAUUUUUGUAUCUGAAUAUGGCAGGGUACGAUUGUGCGAACCAACGACACACAUUUGGUUUAUGCUCGACUUUAUUUUAGACAUGCGAUUUCGUUUUCCAAAUGAUAUAUGGAACGGCAUAACAAGCGUCCCAAAGGAGGAUCACAUCUUAGUGAUGUUAUUGUCACAGGUUGGGAAAGGAGUGGAGGAGUACUCGGCUACGGAUAUGGAUGGCAUUCGCGAAGAUUGGUCGACUUAUGCGGUUACCUCUAUUUUUA
rnacentral:lncRNA from 1 species